CCUGGUGGCUCAGAUGGUAAAGCAUCUGCCUGCAAUGCAGGAGACCCGGGUUCAAUGCCUGGGUCAGGA
rnacentral:tRNA from 1 species